GUUUCUAUGGUGUAACUUGCACGUUAGAUUUUCAUUCUAAAGGAAUAAGUUGACUUAUUAGAAAUA
rnacentral:tRNA from 1 species